UACGUAGGGUGCAGGCGUUAAUCGGAAUUACUGGGCGUAAAGCGUGCGCAGGCGGUUUGCUAAGACAGGUGUGAAAUCCCCGGGCUUAACCUGGGAACUGCAUUUGUGACUGCAAGGCUAGAGUACGGUAGAGGGGGAUGGAAUUCCGCGUGUAGCAGUGAAAUGCGUAGAUAUGCGGAGGAACACCGAUGGCGAAGGCAAUCCCCUGGACCUGUACUGACGCUCAUGCACGAAAGCGUGGGGAGCAAACAGG
rnacentral:rRNA from 1 species